rnacentral:sRNA from 1 species
UAAGUCAGGGCGACCAUGUGUACGCACAUA